rnacentral:RNase_P_RNA from 2 species
GUAGAAGGGUGGUCUGUCGCCUGACACUCUAUUGAGUCAGGAGGAAAGUCCGGGCAACAGAGAGCGGCAUGUUUCCUAACGGGAAGCCGGCGGCGACGUCGGGGAUAAGUGACAGAAAACAACCGCCAGAGGAGGCUCCGGCCACUCAGGUAAGGGUGAAAAGGUGGGGUAAGAGCCCACCGGCUCCUGUGGCGACACAGGAGGCCGCACAUCCCAUGUGUUGCAAGGCCAAAUAUACCGGCAGUCAAGGGCUGCUCGUCCAUUGCCGGGGGGUAGGCUGCUUAAGCACGCAGGCAACUGCGGAGCGUAGAUAAAUGACAGACGCCGUAUCCUGAUUUUCGGAGACGGUACAUAACCCGGCUUAUAUCCUUUCUACUCUA